rnacentral:rRNA from 1 species
GAGCGGAGCUUUUGGAGUGCUUGCACUCCGAAAGCUUAGCGGCGGACGGGUGAGUAACACGUAGGUAACCUGCCUGUAAGAUCGGGAUAACUAUCGGAAACGAUAGCUAAGACCGGAUAAUUAGCUAGGUCGCAUGACUGAGCUAUGAAACACGGAGCAAUCUGUGGCUUACAGAUGGGCCUGCGGCGCAUUAGCUAGUUGGUGAGGUAAUGGCUCACCAAGGCGACGAUGCGUAGCCGACCUGAGAGGGUGAACGGCCACACUGGGACUGAGACACGGCCCAGACUCCUACGGGAGGCAGCAGUAGGGAAUCUUCCGCAAUGGGCGAAAGCCUGACGGAGCAACGCCGCGUGAGUGAUGAAGGUUUUCGGAUCGUAAAGCUCUGUUGCCAAAGACGAACGGCUAGGAGGGUAACUGCUCUUAGUGUGACGGUAUUUGAGAAGAAAGCCCCGGCUAACUACGUGCCAGCAGCCGCGGUAAU